ensembl:lincRNA A930006I01Rik RIKEN cDNA A930006I01 gene
CACUAACAAAGCUUGCCUUCCAAGCCAAUUCCAAGCACACAGAUAGCUUUCCUAUCAAGAUGCAGUACAACUGCUGGGGACGUACUGCGCUGCGGAUGGUAGCGACUUACCCUGUGCCCCUCCCAGGAGAUCCCAUGCUAUUCAAAGUUUCGGUGAUUGAAUUCCAUUUAUCAGACUUUGCAACAAAUCCCCUUACCUGUGGAGCCAUCCUGCCUGCCCUUGGGAAACUUUUGGAUUAUAAAACUUGUCUAUGGCUUUCCACAGAUCUUUGAUGAGGAUGCUGCUGAAUAGAGACCAGCAAGAACCAACCUCCUUCUUCCACUCGAAGACACAGAGGGAACAUUUUCAAAGUUCCUCCUUUGAACACAUUGUUCAGGAUUUUACUGUGGGUACUGAAUAGAAGAUUAUUAAUGUGCCUUAUUUUUCCUAAUGUCCAAUAGUUUUGCAUAAUAAACCAUAUGAUGAGUUUUAGCAAGUGUUAUUUUUUCUCUGCGUGUGUUGAGCUAUGUAAGCUCCCAGACUCACAGUGGGCUGUCCCCUGUUAAACCCCUUCUAAGUGGGAAAGAACACAAGUCUAAAAUGUGUUUGAUACACGGAAUCACCGAGCACUGUGGCUCAGGGGCAUAGUAUGCUGGGGUUUGUCCGCUGCUCCCUGGUGAUCCUGGGCUGGCUGGGAACUGAGGCUCAUGGCUGCUGCCUAGAGUCUUCAGUGUUUUGCUACAUACUGCUAACCCAGGGAAAGGUCAAAAUUCAAAAUGAGAAUUGCACUUUCUGCUAAAUGUGUAUUACUUUCACACCAUCAAAAAGUUGAAAACCAUGGGUCUGGUGAGGUAUGUUUUGUUGCCGUUGAUAUACUGGUUUCCAGUAACCGGACAUGUAUAGCAUCAUGCAUCCUAGUACCCUGGAACAAGUCAGAUUUGCACAUUGUGGAUUUUUCCUUUACACAUUGCUAGAGUUGGUUUAUAAAUACUGUGCUUAGGUGUUUACACCUGUGUUUACAUGUACAAUUGCCCUGUGAUUUUUUUUCUCUCACCGUAUUCUUUACUAGAUUGUAUUAUUGAUAUUCUAGUUUCACAAAAUAAAGAAAGGAAUAUACCUACUUUUUCUACUUUUUGGAAAAUUUUGUACAAGAUUGACAUCAAAUCUUUAAAAAUCUAAUAAUAUCUGGUUGAGCUUAACAUUCGGUGACAAGUUUAUUUUAAAUUUCAGAUUUUCCAGGUUCUUUUUUUUUUUUUCUUGUGCUAAUCUUGGUAAGUAACAUUUCCUUGAGGUUUAUAGUCCUCUGCAUUUUGAAGCCAUUUGUGAUACUCUCACGACAUUCCGCAAAUGUCUCCAACAGAUGCGAUACUGACACUCUUCCUCCGCUGACACUAAGAGCGGGGUCGUUCCCCUUUUCUGUCCUGUUUUGACUGAACACAUUUAAUGCUUUUAUUAGUUAUUACAUUUUUAUUAUGCUUAUUUAUAAUUGAUGAGGGGCACAGCAGGCACACGUGUGGAGGUCGGAGCACAGCUUUUAGGAUUUGGCUCUCUUCUACCACGUGUGUCCAGGGGAUUGGGCUGAGGUACUGGGAGCUGGCAACAAGCUCUUUGACUCGUCUCAGUGGCCCCUUUAUCAGUUAUUUUAAAGAACCAAAUUCUGGCUUUUAAAAUCUUCUCUAUUAUUUUUUUUUUCUUUCAGUGUUGCUGCUAACAUUCUUUUAGGGGAAGACUCAAACAGUGUCUGUCUUUCCUCUGAAGGCCCAGGCUACUGCCUGAGGUACAAUGCUACCACAGUUUAUCAGGCUGCAGUACAGAGAGUGGGCAAGCGUGUACAGGCAGGAACAUGGACGGUCCUAAAGCAGCCUCAGGGAGGUCUGCAUCCCCAGUGAUUCCCCGAUGGCUGUGUAUUUGGCAUGCCACCCCUCAGCGAGGUCGUCCUUGGCUACAGGAUGCUAGCCCCUCCCUGAGGUCAUAUGCAAUCAGGGCAGAACUGUAUACAACUGGUUGAGAGGAGUGGCUGGAUACCUGGGUGAGGGCCCAUGACCCUCUCCACCCUCCUCCCAUGAAGGAGUGUCAGCAGUCAACAAGCAUUUGCAAGCAGACACCCUGAGUUCAUGAAGGUGGAGACAGUUUGCCUUGGGGGACAGUCCUGGAAGACAUUUCUUUUUCUUGAGUUUAGUGCACAUCGGAACAAGACUAUUUCACUAUUGUUUUUCUAAACUCUUCUAGAACUCCU